rnacentral:lncRNA from 1 species
UGCGAUUGCACGCGUUGAGGAGGAGGAAGAAGAAGAGUUCCCGCGGCGGCAGCCAUCAUGACGGCACCUCUCAGGCAGCAGUGGAAGAGCCCGAACGAGUUCUUGUUCGCCUCCGUUGGCAUGUGCGUCGGCCUCUCCAACCUGCUCAAGUUCCCGUACGUCGUGUACCACAACGGGGGCUUGGUUUUCAUCAUGG